rnacentral:rRNA from 1 species
GAGUUUGAUCAUGGCUCAGAACGUACGCUGGCGGCACGCCUAACACAUGCAAGUCGAACGAAGUAGCAAUACUUAGUGGCAGACGGGUGAGUAACAUGUAGGUAUCUACCCUUUGGCCUGGAAUAACACGAGGAAACUUGUGCUAAUACUGGAUAAGUCUUUACGGAGAAAGCUUUAUGCACCAUUGGAUGAGCCUGCACUUGAUUAGUUUGUUGGUAGGGUAAUGGCCUACCAAGACUUUGAUCAAUAGCUGAUUUGAGAGGAUGAUCAGCCACAUUGGGACUGAGACACGGCCCAAACUCCUACGGGAGGCAGCAGUGGGGAAUCUUGCACAAUGGAGGAAACUCUGAUGCAGCGAUGCCGCGUGAGUGAAGAAGGCCUUUGGGUUGUAAAGCUCUUUCGUCGGGGAAGAAAAUGACUGUACCCGAAUAAGAAGGUCCGGCUAACUUCGUGCCAGCAGCCGCGGUAAUACGAAGGGACCUAGCGUAGUUCGGAAUUACUGGGCUUAAGGAGUUCGUAGGUGGUUGAAAAAGUUGGUGGUGAAAUCCCAGAGCUUAACUCUGGAACUGCCAUCAAAACUUUUCAGCUAGAGUUUGAUAGAGGAAAGCAGAAUUUCUAGUGUAGAGGUGAAAUUCGUAGAUAUUAGAAAGAAUACCAAAUGCGAAGGCAGCUUUCUGGAUCAUUACUGACACUGAGGAACGAAAGCAUGGGUAGCGAAGAGGAUUAGAUACCCUCGUAGUCCAUGCCGUAAACGAUGUGUGUUAGACGUUGGAAAUUUAUUUUCAGUGUCGCAGCGAAAGCAAUAAACACACCGCCUGGGGAGUACGACCGCAAGGUUAAAACUCAAAUGAAUUGACGGGGACCCGCACAAGUAGUGGAGCAUGUGGUUUAAUUCGAAGAUACGCGCAGAACCUUACCAACACUUGACAUGUUCGUCGCGACUUUAAGAGAUUAAAGUUUUCGGUUCGGCCGGACGAAACACAGGUGCUGCAUGGCUGUCGUCAGCUCGUGUCGUGAGAUGUUGGGUUAAGUCCCGCAACGAGCGCAACCCUCACUUUUAGUUGCCAUCAUUUAGUUGGGCACUCUGAAAGAACUGCCAGUGAUAAGCUGGAGGAAGGUGGGGAUGACGUCAAGUCCUCAUGGCCCUUACGUGUUGGGCUACACACGUGCUACAAUGAUAUUUACAACAGGAAGCAAAACGGCGACGUUAAGCAAAUCCUUAAAAAAUAUCUCAGUUCGGAUUGCACUCUGCAACUCGAGUGCAUGAAGCUGGAAUUACUAGUAAUCGUGGAUCAGCGUGCCACGGUGAAUGCGU